rnacentral:rRNA from 1 species
GAUGAACGCUGGCGGCGUGCCUAAUACAUGCAAGUCGAGCGAACAGACGAGGAUCUUGCUCCUCUGACGUUAGCGGCGGACGGGUGAGUAACACGUGGAUAACCUACCUAUAAUACUGGUAUAACUUCGGGAAACCGGAGCUAAUACCGUAUAAUAUAUUGAACCGCGGUGGUCAAUGGUAAAAGUCGGUUUUGCGGUCACGUAUAGAUGGAUCCGCGCCGCAUUAGCUAGUUGGUGAGGUAACGGCUUAUCAAGGCGAGGAUGCGUAGCCGAACGGAGAGAGUGAUAGGCCACACUGGAACUGAGACACGGACCAGACUACUACGGGAGGCAGCAGUCGGGAAUCUUCAGCAAAGGGCGAAAGCCUGACGGAGCAACGCGGCGUGAGUGAUGAAGGUGUCCGGAUCGUAAAGCUCUGUUACUAGGGAAGAACCAAUGUGUAAGGAAACAUGCACGGAUUGACGGUAACUGAUAAGAAAGCAACGGCUAACUACGUG